rnacentral:rRNA from 1 species
AUGUGUUUCAUAAAGUGGUACUUGGAAGAUCUAAAGAUCACAGCUGUUAGAACGCCAAGUCGACAGUUGGGGCGAGUGGAGCGGCCCCGUGCUAGGGCUUGGCUACCACCGUCGGGUGAGGCUGCAAAGCUGAACUGUGAUGGUGUUGUUUCCACCUUGGGAGAGAGAGGAGUUGCUGCAGUGGUUUGUAGAAACAAGACGGGAAACUAUCUGGGAGCCUCGGCAGUGGUGUAUGAAGGCUUAAUCAAUCCAGCUAGCCUGGAGGCGCUAGCUUGCAGCGAGGCUCUAGCCCUCGCUCGGGACCUAAAUUUGCAGGAAUUGGAGAUAGCUUCAGACUGUCAGGAAGUGAUCUCAAACAUCAAGAAUGGAGGGUCGCCGGCUUAUGCUCCUAUUCUUAGGGAGAUUCAAGUUACUAGAAACCUUUUUCCUGCUGUUAUUUUCCGUUUCGAGUAUAGGGAGCAUAAUUUCGAGGCCCACGCGCUAGCUAAAGGAGCUGCGUGUCUUGCGGUGGGUCGUCAUGUGUGGCUAGGGGUUUUGCCCGACAUUGCUUGUAUUCCUCAGACUUUGAACUUUGAAUAA